UACGUAGGGGGCAAGCGUUGUCCGGAAUCAUUGGGCGUAAAGCGCGCGUAGGCGGCCCGGUAAGUCCGCUGUAAAAGUCCAGGGCUCAACCCUGGAAAGCCGGUGGAUACUGUCGGGCUAGAGUCCGGAAGAGGCGAGUGGAAUUCCUGGUGUAGCGGUGGAAUGCGCAGAUAUCGGGAGGAACACCAGUGGCGAAGGCGGCUUCCUGGCCUGCUCUUGACGCUGAGGCGCGAAAGCUAGGGGAGCAAACGGG
rnacentral:rRNA from 1 species